AGCGGCGGACGGGUGAGUAACGCGUGGGUAACCUGCCUCACACAGGGGGAUAACAGUUAGAAAUGACUGCUAAUACCGCAUAAGACCACAGCACCGCAUGGUGCGGGGGUAAAAACUCCGGUGGUAUGAGAUGGACCCGCGUCUGAUUAGCUAGUUGGUAAGGUAACGGCCCACCAAGGCGACGAUCGGUAGCCGGACUGAGAGGUUGAACGGCCACAUUGGGACUGAGACACGGCCCAG
rnacentral:rRNA from 1 species